UACGGAGGAUCCGAGCGUUAUCCGGAUUUAUUGGGUUUAAAGGGUGCGCAGGCGGAAGAUUAAGUCGGCGGUGAAAUUUUGCAGCUCAACUGUAAAAGUGCCUUCGAAACUGGUUUCCUUGAGUGUAGAUGAAGUAGGCGGAAUUUGUGGUGUAGCGGUGAAAUGCAUAGAUAUCACGAGGAACUCCGAUUGCGCAGGCAGCUUACUAAACUACUACUGACGCUCAGGCACGAAGGCGUGGGGAUCAAACAGGAUUAGAUACCCCGUGUA
rnacentral:rRNA from 1 species